GCACCCAUACGGGCUAUUUCGAUAUAAGUUGUAUCUCAAGUGAUCUCAAGUAAGCCGGUAAGCGCGUGUUGGCGCUCGUUGUCCCGGUUCUGCCUUCCGCAACCGUUCAUGCGGUCGUCUGUGAUUGCACAAUCUACAAUAAAGUGGAUUGAACUGACUGCCCGUGCAUUCAUUGAACGUCAAGCCUUCCUGUCUAUGAGAAGAGUAAAGCAUCUCUGAUUUGUAAUUAGCGACCUCCAAAACUCCAGGAUAUCAAAUUUCAUGUAAAUCAAAAAACGCUUUCAUAUUUUGGCCAUUUUUUCGGGAUUUUGGCCUUGGGAUUUGGGACUGCUGCCUUCGUUUGAAAACCUUGCGGUGUCCGACUGGUUGUGUGCAUCUGAAAUCCUUCCAUUGAUCAAAUCAUGUUUUGAAGCGGUUGAUCAAAGCCUAUCAGCAGAUUGUGAAUUUAUUGGACGGGGAACUUAAACGAUCCGAGAGUUUUGGAAAAUAAAACUCCGAAAAGAGGGAAGAUUGAAAAUCAGGGUUGGGUAUUUCUAGCUGAAAGGAAUAAGAAGGAAGAAGAAAAAAGAAGGAAAAAGAAGAAAAUAAACAAAAGGAGACAAGACACAAGACAUGAUUAUUCAGCCGGGAUAUAAUACAUAUAUUGCCUUCAGUUAGAGAGAGAAAGCAUCGCGGUGAUAAACAUG